UACGUAGGGUGCGAGCGUUGUCCGGAAUUAUUGGGCGUAAAGAGCUUGUAGGUGGCUCGUUGCGUCGGGAGUGAAAACCUGCGGCUUAACCGCAGGCCUGCUUCAGAUACGGGCGAGCUAGAGUUCGGCAGGGGAGACUGGAAUUCCUGGUGUAGCGGUGGAAUGCGCAGAUAUCAGGAGGAACACCGGUGGCGAAGGCUGGUCUCUGGGCCGAUACUGACACUGAGAAGCGAAAGCGUGGGGAGCAAACAGG
rnacentral:rRNA from 1 species